UUGUACUUGCCAGAAAUAAAGGAAUAAUACAACAAUAAACAUUUGUUGGCUGAUAGAUGACUAUCUCCCGUUUGUCUAGCGCUGGAGAGUUUUUGACAGCACUUUCCACGGUCACAUUCUAACAUGAACACUUCAAGGGACCAGGACUCUGGCUGACAACCCAAACCCUCCCUUUCAGAGCCUCUCCAGCCUCACAGUAAGCAUCCCAGGAGGAGAAUGGAGAAUCCGGCUUUGGGGUCAGACCCAGGCUCUGAAGGCAGUCCUGGCACUUACUAGCUUGGUGACCUUGGCUUGCUCACAUUCCUAUGUUGAAACCUGGCCCUCGAAACAGGAAGUUCUGCCCACCGUGCCUCGGAACUGAACGGACAUUCUCCUCUGAAGGGCAAACCCCAGCAGAUCCUGCUGUGCUGGGGCUCCCCUGCGUCCCACAACCAUCCUCUCCAAGCUUCGGCUUGGCGGCAGGGAGUUGCUCGGCCCUCCUGGUCUCCCUAGCACAGGGAACAGAACCUCAGGGACGCACUUUCCUGGUACUAGAGGUCCUAGGAUCCUGAAGUAAUGCGCGUAGUCCCUAAGGAUGUCACUCCAAAGGCAGGAGUUCCGGUCCCCUCGACAGUAGGGAGAGGGAGGCACGAACCGGAAGGAGACCCACUCCCUUAUUCUCCUCUCCAGUGCAUCUGCCAGUAAAUUCUUAGGGUUGACCAAAUGAUUGCUAAAUCUGCAAGAGUUUUGGAAUUUAACAACAAUGACUCCCUUCAAACUCUAAAAAAAGCCCAUGAUUUGACAAUCCUAAACCAGGGAGUCCCACCCAGCUCUCUCCACAGAGAGGGAGUGGGUCCCAGAUCAACUCUGCCCAGUGGUUGUGCCAGGUUGUGCCAGGCCAGGUUUCUCUGUUGAAGAGGUCCUCUCCAAAUUUUAACUUCGGGGAAGGACACCCACCAGGCAGUUUCAUGCGGCUAUCCCAGAGGUUGGGUAGGGACCCAGAGCCCACCUACCUAUCA